GCCGGGCUGUUAACCUAGUUGAUCAUAGCCUGGUGUAGAAACCCGGUGGUCCGGGGUUCGAGUCCCCGCCCCGGCG
rnacentral:tRNA from 1 species